rfam:Puccinia triticina 1-1 BBBD Race 1 supercont2.8058, whole genome shotgun sequence.
GCGGAUAUAGCUCAAUGGUAGAGCAACCCAGCAUGCAUCGGGGAGAUGCGGGUUUGAUUCCCCCUGUCCUGCA